rnacentral:rRNA from 1 species
AUACGUAGGGAGCAAGCGUUGUCCGGAAUUACUGGGUGUAAAGGGUGCGUAGGCGGCUAUGCAAGUCAGAUGUGAAAUCUAUGGGCUCAACCCAUAGCCUGCAUUUGAAACUGCGUAGCUUGAGUGAUGGAGAGGUAAGCGGAAUUCCUAGUGUAGCGGUGAAAUGCGUAGAUAUUAGGAGGAACACCAGUGGCGAAGGCGGCUUACUGGACAUCAACUGACGCUGAGGCACGAAAGCGUGGGGAGC